ACGUACGGCCACAGGAUCAAGAGAAUAUCGGGUCCCGUCUGCUCCCCUGCAAUCAAGCUUGAUACCGCCGGACCAGUAGUUGGGUCGGUGACGACCAGCGAAUCCCCGGUGUUGUACGUU
rnacentral:rRNA from 1 species